AAGCAACCACCUUCAGUGCCUGGUAAACAAAGCAACACCAGCCUGGAAGAAGAGGGUUCGGACACGGAGAGCGAUUCUGAGGACGACAUCUCUGAGGAUGACAGCCAAGAUCCUAUUUACUCUCCAGACAAGGGUGACACUGACAGCUCGGAAGAGGAUUCUGCUGAUGAGUAAGAAGAACCCAACAUUACCGGGAACCCCGCAGAUCCUAAUGCGGAGCCAAAGUUUAUAGUGACAUUAUCCAGACUGCUGCAGCUUCUCACAGUCUGCUUCCAGUGCCUUCCUCCGGCCACAGCCAAGAUCAGUCGACAAAGCCCUCUUCUUCGGGCUGUGAUCACAUAUGCCCGAGGUCAUGAGCUCAUUUGGGAGAUCCAGCCCAGAUUGAGGAGCAGGUCACUGCUGACUCUACUGCUCUGUGGGGCCAUUACCUUCUCGGGUGCAAGUCCAACAUGUGUCCUGCACCUCCUGAGUUUGAUUGGAAUUGCCACAGUCCAGAAGCCCCGGUACUUCAAGAUUCAGAGCACCUUUCUGUUCCCUGCAGCAUUGAAAGUCUGGAAAGCAGAGCAGGCACAGCUCGUUUAGAAGCUACAGGGCAAGACGUGCUUGGCUGGGGACGGACAGGCGGACUCCCCUGACUACUCGGCGAAGUAUGGAACGUACAGCCUGAUGAAAAUGAAUGUUAAGUGCAUAAUCCAUCUUGAGCAAAUCCAGUCCACCGAAGUGAAGUCGAGCUCCCACAUGGAGAAGGAAGGCCUGAGGCGCAGCUUGGACAAUAUGCUCAACCAGGGAUUCAUCAUUGGUAAUUCGGGCAGAUAAACCUAUUGAAAGGGCGAAGCAAAGGGCCAACGAGCAGCAGUGCACCAAAGUUGCUGAGCCUUCUCCAAACUCUCUAACACUGGUCCAUGGCAGCCAACACCUACGACGGCGAAGCAAGCCGCAAGACAACUACAACGACGACGCAAACCGCAAUUUUGAUGCAUAGUCUUGUAAUUGUGCAUUUUAUAUGCCGUUCAUGAUUAAUAAAUAUGUAAGCA